rnacentral:tRNA from 1 species
GGAAGUGUGGCAGAGUGGUCUAACGCACCGGUUUUGAAAACCGGAGUCCUCGCAAGGGGACCGAAGGUUCGAAUCCUUCCGCUUCCGCCA